UCGUUCUUAAUGACUUGUGAGCUCGAACCCAACUGCAAUUGAAAUAAACGGAUCGCCCCUCUCAGGGCUCCUUGCUUGACUAGCUGUGUCCGUCUCUCCUUAUUCCUCAGCUGGAACGGACAGGAAUUUCCACAACAGUUUUGGCGACCACGAAGGGAAUUCUCCAGCUCAGAACCGCUCCGGGGCCCCUCCCUCGAGAAGGACCAGCGCGCGCAGAGAGGACCAGUGGAUGGUGCAGACCUUGUCUGGACUGAAACUUAAAUUCACUCGAAAGGGAACACAUGGAUAAGGUCCCCAGCAAGGGAGCGAUGCUUGUUGGCCGACCGGCAAGGCCAACCAGAAGUAGAUGACUACAGGGCAGCUAAGGCCCUAAACGACUGAUAUCAGGGUUUUGAUGGAUAUAGAAGAUUGGACUGUAUUAUUUGGAUUAACGUUUAUUGCUCUUUUUUUCUUUUAUUUGUUGGUAUUUUAACCUAUUGUGAAAAUGUUUCCUCUGUUAAUUAUGUUGUUUUCCCCUU